UCGAUGGGUUUUUCUACAGUAUUUUCACUCAAUUGUUCCCCUUCCCAUUAUUCCCUGUUAAAAAAAAAAGAAAAAAAAAAGAAUCAAACUGAAACGCACACUAUUGAUUUUAGCCAGGAUACUGCGUUGUUGUUGCCUCUCACUCACAGUCUCCAUUUCUGAUAAAAGUAAGAAGAAUCGUCAAUUUUGGAGCGAUAAGCAGCAACAAAGAAAUUCAGUACGGCUUCAGAAAAAAGAAAGCCAGGUUGCGUUUUUGGUUUAAUCCAUGAAGAAGGAAACCCAUGUUGAGGUCUUAUGCAGCAAUCUUUGCUUCUCCGAGAUAGCCUUAAGGUAAAAAAAAAUGCAUUGAAAGUGUUUGCUUUUAUUGUCUCACUGAGAAUUAUGGAUAUUCGUCUUUGUUAUUGGGUUUGCAUGACCCGUUCAACUGCAAACCAGUUUGAAUUGUCCUGCAGCAAAGAUGACCAGAAACAGAUGCAGAGUGGUGGAUUCUUUGAAACAUCGUGCAGGUAAACCUGUAGUAAAUACGGUGGAUCCAUUGGGUUAUUGAUGUGAUGGAUAAAACGGUAAAUGUAGCCUCAGGAGCAGAGUCGUGGGUGCCUUCCAUCAACCAGCGGCGCCUCCUGUGAAACACUCCGCAGAAGUCCUAGGCUAAUUGUGCAAGCUCGACUUCAAGAAACAAUACAUAUGCAGAUUUGAAUUGGUUUUGAAAGAUAAGCCUGAUUUAUCAAGAUGGUCAUUGAAGUAUAGGGAACUUGGUCAAGAUAUAGAGUUUUCUUGGCUUGCUCGCAAUAUGCAGGCCAUACCUAACCAAAAAAGCCACUGAUGAUGUUUAGAAGGUCUACCUAUCAGACAAUGUUCGAGUCAUAUGACAGGAAGAGGCUCUUGCAGCUUUUCCGUGUGAUAUCAAUUUUCUAAUCUCGGUGAUGUUGCUCACAAAUGGUGCCAUUUCAACAACCUGAAUACUGAAGUGGAGCAGAUAAGUUUUGCACCUAACUUCUUGAGCAUGUUUCGUUCACUAUCUUUGUGUAAUGUGCCAAAUGAUAUUUCUAGGUUUUACCACAUGACUUUAUGGCAGAUAAAAAAAAUUGUGAGAUCAAAAGAACAACAGAGAGACAGAGACCCGACAGUCGGUGAUAAAAUUUAGUAUAUGUGGAAACGUGAUUUUGUGAAUCUUCUGAAUGACUUACCUCUUGCGGAACAUGUAACUAGGAUCCAUUCAUAAUAAAUCCACAACUGGAAACUUCUUCCUAAAUCUCUUCAUUGACUACAAUAAAGAACCUCUCUAGAGGUUAUUGAAAUAUAGUCGAUGAACAUGUAUUACAUUAACUAAUGUACAAAGCAAGCAUGGAUAUAAAUUUAGAAACCUCUGUGUUAAUUUUAGUGAAGAGAUGUGAAACCAUGUAUUGUGAUACAUUCACCAUGUCACUAUUAUGCACUGUAAGUAUAAUAAAUAGGUACACGACUGAUUGGGACCUUUCUUAUCAGUUGAUGAUGCAUUACAACUAUCUCCGGGGUCGAAAUCUGUUACCAGCUUCAAUGUGACUAUGUAAAUAUACAACAUACAAAGGAUGACCCACGGUCCACUAUGAGCCGACUCGAUGUCGGGAAUUUAUGCAGGAUGGCGAACAUUAAACCCAGACGUUAUUAGUACAGGAGAUUGGUGAUAAUAUCUGGACAAAAAAAAAAGAAAUAUAUGGAAGAGAAAGUGGACAGAGUGAGCUUCAAAAGAAAAUCAUUUUGGUAUUUGUCAAAGAAUAAUGCGUUAGUCUUUUAAUAACGACGUGUCCUGGAUUGAAAUCAACCUUCACCUUUGCCCAAUAACCACUUGGAUUCAUAAGAAUAAAACACAGAUUUUUUCAACCCACAAGAUAAAGGAAUGACUCACUCUUACGAAUUGUCUAAUACCUCAGCUUAAAACAAUGUGAAAUAGCGAGUGCCGUUACGCCACAGGUCUAAUGUUUAGAAAUGAAUAAUGAAUAUACAAUCUCUCUGUUGCUGAAAUGUCAAGCCUUUAUGGCAUUCCACUACUGGUGGCUACCCUGGGAAGACUGUUCGGGGAACAAUAUUGGUUUGUUUACUAGAAUAACUCUGAUAACUAUAUUAAAAAUCAUUUGAAAAAAGAAAAAUAAGACUGUUCGUGAAUAAUUGUGAUUUGUUUACCGGAAUAACUUUGACAACUAGAUUAAUGAUCUAGAAUUUGAGGUUGAAGAUUUUGAGUAAGAAAUGUUAAGUAUUCGUGGUUGAGAUUGACGUAAGAAAUUAUUAUGUAUCACGGGGAUUGAGAAUUGCAUUUUAAAUUCAAUCGAGGUGUUGUUUGUCGA